CUCCGAACAAACGCAGCUUUCGAAAUCGAGCAGACAGACCCAAAACCGGCGCUGGGGUAGCAGCCUGGCUAUUGUUUGCAUGUUCUGAAUGUUCCGUGAGUUUUCAGCUCUGUUCGGAGCCUUCCGGGCGGUUUCCCGUUUGCUGUUACUUUGGUGGCCCGCUCGGCGGCUCCUAGGGGAUGCGUCAGCAAGGGUUUGCUCAGAGCGAAGGGGGUCGACCAGGGCCGUGUGUGUCCUGUCCUAGCUCAGCCUGUGACUGAUGCGCUGUUCAGUAGCCCGGUCGUGACCGCGACAGCUCCCCGAGUGUUCCGAGAACCAGCAGAGCCGAUGGGUUCUCCGUCCCGGCUUGGGUUCAUAAUGCCGAGCGGGUGUGCGAGCCUCGCCAACUGACUCUGUGACUGACCGCCUUCCCGCCCUUCUCUGCCCCUUUAGCUUCCGAAAAUCUCCCAGCCUCCCUUUCAGAGUGUCCUUUGCUUACCUUUUCCCCCAGGAUGACUAGAAAUCUCUUCACCGCUACCAGUGUCACAUUUGAAGACGAGGGGCACUGAGGAUGAGAAAUCAACUGAAAAGUAUGAAAAUGUUGGAAAUGCAGAAUCUUUGUGGCCAAAAGUGGAAGGUCUUCAUAAGGAUCGUAUACAGGAAUAUAAGGUGGACUUUGUGGCACAGAUUCGAGCUGUUCAGACUGGAGAUGUUUAGGGAGCACCAUCCGCCACCUCUUUCCAGAGAAAAUGCCUGAUGCGCAAGAAGAAAAACUUGCAACAUGUAGCUCCCAGAAGGAAGAGAGGCUCAGUGCAUGGAGAAGGUACGGUCAUCUCAGAAUCAAUAACUAAACUCUGGAGCCUGGAAGACUCAGUGUAGAAGCUGCCACUACUUGUUUAAUUCCAUCUUCAAAAAUGUUCAGAUUCGCUUACCAUGUUGGCACAUCACUUGGAUUGCCAGAUUUGGCAAAGUGAAGCAAGCCAACAAAACCAAGAUGCCAGUUAUGUUUGAAUUGCAGAUAAACAUUUUUUUAGUGUAUGUCUCAUGCAUUAACAAUAAUUCCUUGUUUAUCUGAAGUUCAAAUUUAACUGGGUGUUUUGUAUUGUAUCUGACAACCCAGUUGGCCGCACACCCUGUUUCCUUUUACUUUGAACAUCUUAAGUCUUAAGGAUAGAUCUAGACUGGACAGGAUGUAGGCACUGCUCUUGGGAGGGGGGGACAUUUUGGCUUAGCCUCCUUCUGCUUUCCUCAGUUUUAACUGCUGGCUACAUGGCCCACAGCCCCCUUCAGGGUUCUCCCAUCUGGUGGUCGCCCUCUUAGACUUGGCAUUGAUAGGCAAGAUGGUACAAACCCUGCUCCUGCUGUGUCCACUUGGCCUUCAGAUCCUCUUGGAAGCUUGGCAUCCAAACCUCAGGGAUGCCAAAGGUGAGUCACCAGCCCUAUCUAGCUGUUUCACAGAAUCACAGUCUCUCCUUACAGCAAUCUCCAUAAGUGAUCCUCUUCAUGAGGGAGAGCCUGCAAGGUGGACAGGGAAUUGCGUCCUGCUCCACGCCUCCCGGCAGACAUCCCCAGCCUCCUUCUGCUUCCAAGUCUAUGUAUCUCAAAGAAAAGCCUUGCCUUGGCUUCAAAACGCACUAUCUGUCCAUACAGGCCAAGCCUCUUCAUCCCCUCAGAAUUAGGAUCUUUGGACUUGGUUUUUCCUCUCAUUGUCCACCCCAUGCCACCCCAAGACAAUCAGUCAUUGUCCGAAGUGCUGGGAUCUUCUCUCCCUGUGUGCUGUUUGGGUUGUUCUGGCCAUUCCCUUCCCGUUUGGUUAAUUGCAAGAAUAAAUCUCACCUCCUGGUGAAGGCUUUGAGUCUGAGUUCUGAGCUUGGGGGCCUUCAAGGGCCUCCCUUCAUGGCUUGGAUUGGGUUGUAAGGUAGUUACUGUGCUUCUUCAGGAGGCAGUGACGGCACAAGGACAGGGGCUCCACAUUUGUGGAAUUAGUACGUGUAGCAGAGUCUGCUGCAGGUGGAUGGAGAGGGGCAGUUGAAAGGUAUGGGCCAUGAUUCGUGCUGUCCCUUCCAUCAGACUUUUUUAGGAAACACGCCUCCCUCCUGAUUGCUGAGAUCCAUCAGGACUUGUUGCCUAGGCCAAAGUUUCUUCCAGGGCCUUCUCUCCCCUUUUUAACUGUCUAAAUGGCUGCCACUGGGAUAAGUUUGAAAUUCUUUAUUUAAAAAAAAAAACAAAACAAAACCCCUCAUAGAUAUUUAUUAAGUUCUGCUGUUUGUGCCUAACACUGUUAGGGUCACACAAGGUGAAGACACAAGUUCCUGCAUUCAAGAAUCAUAGCGCAGGUCAAGAUCUGAAUACAUUAAAAAGCCAUUUCAGGAUGACCCUAAACAUAGAUAAUAAAAUGCAUUUGACGUGAUUUGUAAAGGUCAUAAAAUGACAGUGUUUCAUCAUUUGUGGAAUCAGAGGAUUUGAUCAGAUUUUCCCCAAAGUUUGCUUACUUAUUCCAAAAAAUAUUAAGAUUGUUCAAGUUUUAUAGAAUAAAAUAACAAGAUACUGUAUUCACGCUGUGCAAGGCACUGUUGCUGGCAACCCUUCCACUCUUCCUAAGAAUACCAUGAGGUGGCAAUUUCUCAUUUCCCACUUGGCAGGUGGGGAAAUUUAGGCACCGAGGUUAAGAAUUUGCCCACGGCACAGCACUCUAUGGUAGAGCUGGCGUAUAAACCCAAGGCAACAGGCUCUCAAGUGCACAGGCCCCAGAGUGCCGUCCUGUGUCUCUGCAGGCCUUCGCCCAGGCUUUCCCAUACAUACAUUACAGGUUUCACUUCCUUACGUUUUAUACACAGAAGCAAUAUAUUGUUCUUGGAAUGCCUAUGCUAUUUUCCAUUGCCUUACAAACUUUGUCCUCUGGGUUCAGACUUGUACAAUUUGCAACCCAGUUUCUACAUUUUAGAAACUAUGUAUCUAUGGGACUCUGGCUGUAUCUCCUUUUAGGGAUUUGGUUUACUGGAAUCUAUAAAUUUCACACAGAUUUUAGCCCAAAGUCCUGACUCAUUCACUAGGUUAUGUUUCUUUCCUCAUUUUCUCAAAACUGAUCUAAUUCAAUCCUCAACAUUCUGUCUCUCCCCUCAGGGAGGGAGUGGCAUUUGAGUUGGUAAUAAAAGACUUGUGAAGAUUGUUCUGGGGAAAGAGAAGGACAAAGUAGAACCCAGGCUGCGGGAAGGGGAUGAAUUCGGAGUCCCUGUCUUCCUCAGACCAAAGAUCCCUGGUCUCUUCCCUGGAAUGAAGUGCAUGUGCUAUUCUAGGGAUGGUCAAAGUCCAGAAAAAGAAAUUUUUUUUUCUUGGAAUAUUCUCCUCACUCUAGGUUGUAGCUGAGUAUAUCUGAACCAUUUCAUACACACACACACACACACAACUAAUUCUCUGCUGAAAUUCCAAUUGUUAUUUGCUCACUUAAGCAAGCAUGUUAAAUGCAGGCAUGUGCGGUGCCUGGAUGGCUCAGUGGGUUAAGUGUCCGACUCCUGGUUUCAGCUCAGACCCUGGAUCUCAGGGUCAUGAGAUCCAGCCCCGUGUCAAUGCCUGCAUAAGGCUCUAUGAUCAGUGUGGAGACUGCUUGAGAUUCUCUCUCCCACUCCCUCUGCCCUCCUCUUCAUGCAUGUUCUCUCUCUCAAAUAAAUAAAUGAAUCUUAAAAGAAAAUGCAAGAAUGCAAGCCUGAUAUUUCCAGACAUGACUUCAAAUGGGUCUGAUUCCUUAGCAGGGUCAGUCACCUCAACAGGCCAGCCCUUUAACAGGCACUAGGAAUGAAUCAGUGUAUGACACAACACAUAGGUGAUUGCCACACUGCAGUGAGACAUUUGGGAGGCACAGGGAAGAAUUUAACUCCCAGAAUCCAGUGGCUUUUUUUUUUCCUUAAACAGUUUCCAGAUGAUUCUUAAUGAGUGUUAGCUGGGGUGUUGGGUUGCCUUUAACUUAUACAUUCUUCCAUUGUUCCCAAGUAGCCUAUUGUGGGGGUGGGGUGGGGGAGAAUGUGGAGACACAUGUGGACACCUUUGUCCCAGAAUAGGAUGGAAAACAGUGAAACACCCACCUAGCAAAAGAUCAAAGAUGUUCCUUUGAAAGAUUUAGGUAUGUCCUUUCCUUUUUAUGACUCAUAAAGAUUCUUAGUAAAAGUUAUUUAAAAUGUUUCCAAUAAUUAGAAAUAGUUAUUCUGGUUUAAAACCCAUUUCAAAAAGAUAAGGGAAUUAUGACAAGGUUAUAAUGAUAAUUUGGGGGUAAGAGUUGUAAUCGUUUUCUCCCAAGUACUUUGAACUGCUCUAGUAUGAGGAAAAGCUUUGAAGGAUUUGGCUGGGGUAUGUGAAAGCUGGUCACUGCAGCCAGGACCUUUAGAAUCCAAGCACCCUGACACCAAAACCAGCUUAGGUUAUAAGGAGUAGGAAUAUUCCCAUUUGAGCUUGGUUCUGCUUGAAGCAAAGCAUUCAUGACCCCAAACCAGGAGUUACUCGGAUUAUUUUUUUUGUCUCUCCAAACACUUCUUCAGUACUUCUGAAAUGUCUUCAGUUUUUUACUUGUAAAUUUCCCUGUUCUUUCUUGAGAAUAAGUCUCCUCUUUCCCUGUGACUGAUAAGUCUUGAAGGCCAAAGGCACUUCUAUUUUGGACUGUGGUCCUUUGACUUCUCCCUUCUCCAUCUCCUCCUCUCUCCCAGCCAUCCCCACCACCUGUGGAGGCUCAGUACAGGGAAACCUCAGCCUCCUGGCAUCGGGAGCCAAGGUUUUUUACUCACUACGUAACUGGAUGACUCUCACUAAUGGUGCUGGUCUAUGGAAAUGCUGACCCAAGCUGCUCUGGGUUUAAAUGAAAAUUCACAGAUUUAAAAACAAAACCACCCAGGGAUAGUCAGAACUUGUAAUUGUUAAAGAAAGGUGUUUGAAAGCAGACCAGCUUUCACUAUGGCCUAAUCAUACUUUGAGAGCCCUGAAAAAGGGACAGACCAGGUGAGAAACAGGAGUGGUUUCCUAAGGGGACCAAGGGGAAGGUGGCCGGCCCUCAGGCUUUCUCUGGUCUCAGAUGGUCAGGGCAUGAAGUGAUCUCCCAUGAAAAUUCAACGUGACCACCACCCUGGCACUUUCCGAUUGCUAUCUGUAAACUUCUAAACCUCACAGAUAUUUACAUUGCUGUGUGCAGUUUUAAAAGCAUUCCCACAGUCUUGGUUUCAUUUGAUCCUCAUGAAUACCUUGCCAGGGGUGAAGGAUACAUUUCCUUACCUGCACCUUGCAAAAGGAAACCAUAUCUUCCACCACAGAAAUCAGAGGAGCCAGGAUCUGAGCUGGCAGGUAAAUGUUCACUGAAUUAAACAAAUACAGAAAUAUAGGAGUGUUUUAAGGGAAACAGGUCUCUGCCCCAAAGAAAUUCAUUGUCAUCACUUCUCAGCCUUUUGGCUAAGAUCAAGUGAAGAAAUUCACUGUCUGUUUGGGGAGAGAUGCUCAAAAUUAAAAUAAUUAAAAUAACAAUACAAUUUAGUAAGGAAAGACCAGGUACAGUGCAGAUAUGAUCAGUGCAUCCUUCACUGUGAAAUGAAAUGAAGAAAGCAUUAGGAUUCUAAGUGUACUUAAGUAGCUUUCAUCCCGUGACUGAACUGCAAUCCCCAGUGUCCUCCACCUGCUACCUAACCUUCAUCUCAAGUCUCUGCUUAAUAUCCUGGGUUUUACUAGGAUAAGGAAUCCUAGUGUCUGUAAGAAGUCCAGCUUUACACUUAGCUAUGGUGAUGUCUGAGCUUGUCACAUCCUCUUCAGUCCUGUACUCGCAGUGAAACUCCGGCCCUCCCCACCCUCUUGCUUUUUUUUUUUUU